AGCAGCCGCGGUAAUUCCAGCUCCAAUAGCGUAUAUUAAAGUUGUUGCAGUUAAAAAGCUCGUAGUUGAAUUUUGGGUCUGGCCGGGCGGUCCGCCUUCUGGGUGAGUACUGUUCCGAUGUCGGGCCUAUCCUUCUGGUGAGUCGGCAUGCCCUUUACUGGAUGUGUCGGGGAACCAGGACCAUUACCUUGAAAAAAUUAGAGUGUUCAAAGCAGGCGCAUGCUCGAAUACAUUAGCAUGGAAUAAUGAAAUAGGACGCGUGGUGCUAUUUUGUUGGUUUCUAGAACCGCCGUAAUGAUUAAUAGGGAUAGUUGGGGGCAUUAGUAUUCAAUUGUCAGAGGUGAAAUUCUUGGAUUUAUUGAAGACUAACUUCUGCGAAAGCAUUUGCCAAGGAUGUUUUCAUUAAUCAAGAACGAAAGUUAGGGGAUCGAAGACGAUCAGAUACCGUCGUAGUCUUAACCAUAAACUAUGCCGACUAGGAAUCGGGCGAUGUUAUUUUCACGACUCGCCCGGCGCCUUAUG
rnacentral:rRNA from 1 species